UACGUAGGCAGCGAGCGUUGUUCGGAAUUACUGGGCGUAAAGAGUGUGUAGGCGGCGCUCUAAGUUCGGUGUGAAAUCUCCCGGCUUAACUGGGAGGGUGCGCCGGAAACUGGAGUGCUCGAGCGUGGGAGAGGAAAGCGGAAUUCCUGGUGUAGCGGUGAAAUGCGUAGAUAUCAGGAGGAACACCUGCGGUGUAGACGGCUUUCUGGACCAUUGCUGACGCUGAGACACGAAAGCGUGGGUAGCAAACAGG
rnacentral:rRNA from 1 species